GGGUAAUGGCCUACCAAGGCGACGACGGGUAGCCGGCCUGAGAGGGUGACCGGCCACACUGAGACUGAGACACGGCCCAGACUCGUACGGGAGGCAGCAGUGGGGAAUAUUGCACAAUGGGCGCAAGCCUGAUGCAGCGACGCCGCGUGAGGGAUGACGGCCUUGUGGUUGUAAACCUCUUUCAGUAGGGAAGAAGCGAAAGUGACGGUACUUGCAGAAGAAGCGCCGGCUAACUACGUGCCAGCAGCCGCGGUAAUACGUAGGGCGCAAGCGUUAUCCGGAAUUAUUGGGCGUAAAGAGCUCGUAGGCGGUUUGUCGCGUCUGCUGUGAAAGACCGGGGCUCAACUCCGGUUCUGCAGUGGGUACGGGCAGACUAGAGUGCAGUAGGGGAGACUGGAAUUCCUGGUGUAGCGGUGAAAUGCGCAGAUAUCAGGAGGAACACCGAUGGCGAAGGCAGGUCUCUGGGCUGUAACUGACGCUGUAGGAGCGAAAGCAUGGGGAGCGAACAGGAUUAGAUACCCUGGUAGUCCAUGCCGUAAACGUUGGGCACUAGGUGUGGGGGACAUUCCACGUUUUCCGCGCCGUAGCUAACGCAUUAAGUGCCCCGCCUGGGGAGUACGGCCGCAAGGCUAAAACUCAAAGGAAUUGACGGGGGCCCGCACAAGCGGCGGAGCAUGCGGAUUAAUUCGAUGCAACGCGAAGAACCUUACCAAGGCUUGACAUGAACCGGUAAUACCUGGAAACAGGUGCCCCGCUUGCGGUCGGUUUACAGGUGGUGCAUGGUUGUCGUCAGCUCGUGUCGUGAGAUGUUGGGUUAAGUCCCGCAACGAGCGCAACCCUCGUUCUAUGUUGCCAGCGGUUCGGCCGGGGACUCAUAGGAGACUGCCGGGGUCAACUCGGAGGAAGGUGGGGACGACGUCAAAUCAUCAUGCCCCUUAUGUCUUGGGCUUCACGCAUGCUACAAUGGCCGGUACAAAGGGUUGCGAUACUGUGAGGUGGAGCUAAUCCCAAAAAGCCGGUCUCAGUUCGGAUUGGGGUCUGCAACUCGACCCCAU
rnacentral:rRNA from 1 species